rnacentral:rRNA from 1 species
UGCAGUCGAGCGGACAGAUGGGAGCUUGCUCCCUGAUGUUAGCGGCGGACGGGUGAGUAACACGUGGGUAACCUGCCUGUAAGACUGGGAUAACUCCGGGAAACCGGGGCUAAUACCGGAUGGUUGUUUGAACCGCAUGGUUCAAACAUAAAAGGUGGCUUCGGCUACCACUUACAGAUGGACCCGCGGCGCAUUAGCUAGUUGGUGAGGUAACGGCUCACCAAGGCAACGAUGCGUAGCCGACCUGAGAGGGUGAUCGGCCACACUGGGACUGAGACACGGCCCAGACUCCUACGGGAGGCAGCAGUAGGGAAUCUUCCGCAAUGGACGAAAGUCUGACGGAGCAACGCCGCGUGAGUGAUGAAGGUUUUCGGAUCGUAAAGCUCUGUUGUUAGGGAAGAACAAGUACCGUUCGAAUAGGGCGGUACCUUGACGGUACCUAACCAGAAAGCCACGGCUAACUACGUGCCAGCAGCCGCGGUAAUACGUAGGUGGCAAGCGUUGUCCGGAAUUAUUGGGCGUAAAGGGCUCGCAGGCGGUUUCUUAAGUCUGAUGUGAAAGCCCCCGGCUCAACCGGGGAGGGUCAUUGGAAACUGGGGAACUUGAGUGCAGAAGAGGAGAGUGGAAUUCCACGUGUAGCGGUGAAAUGCGUAGAGAUGUGGAGGAACACCAGUGGCGAAGGCGACUCUCUGGUCUGUAACUGACGCUGAGGAGCGAAAGCGUGGGGAGCGAACAGGAUUAGAUACCCUGGUAGUCCACGCCGUAAACGAUGAGUGCUAAGUG